AGCUACAGGCUUAACACAUGCAAGUCGAGGGGCAGCAUUUUAGUUUGCUUGCAAACUGAAGAUGGCGACCGGCGCACGGGUGAGUAACACGUAUCCAACCUGCCGAUAACUCCGGAAUAGCCUUUCGAAAGAAAGAUUAAUACCGGAUAGCAUACGAAUAUCGCAUGAUAUUUUUAUUAAAGAAUUUCGGUUAUCGAUGGGGAUGCGUUCCAUUAGUUUGUUGGCGGGGUAACGGCCCACCAAGACAACGAUGGAUAGGGGUUCUGAGAGGAAGGUCCCCCACAUUGGAACUGAGACACGGUCCAAACUCCUACGGGAGGCAGCAGUGAGGAAUAUUGGUCAAUGGGCGAGAGCCUGAACCAGCCAAGUAGCGUGAAGGAUGAAGGCUCUAUGGGUCGUAAACUUCUUUUAUAUGGGAAUAAAGUUUUCCACGUGUGGAAUUUUGUAUGUACCAUAUGAAUAAGGAUCGGCUAACUCCGUGCCAGCAGCCGCGGUAAUACGGAGGAUCCGAGCGUUAUCCGGAUUUAUUGGGUUUAAAGGGAGCGUAGGUGGAUUGUUAAGUCAGUUGUGAAAGUUUGCGGCUCAACCGUAAAAUUGCAGUUGAAACUGGCAGUCUUGAGUACAGUAGAGGUGGGCGGAAUUCGUGGUGUAGCGGUGAAAUGCUUAGAUAUCACGAAGAACUCCGAUUGCGAAGGCAGCUCACUAGACUGUCACUGACACUGAUGCUCGAAAGUGUGGGUAUCAAACAGGAUUAGAUACCCUGGUAGUCCACACAGUAAACGAUGAAUACUCGCUGUUUGCGAUAUACAGUAAGCGGCCAAGCGAAAGCAUUAAGUAUUCCACCUGGGGAGUACGCCGGCAACGGUGAAACUCAAAGGAAUUGACGGGGGCCCGCACAAGCGGAGGAACAUGUGGUUUAAUUCGAUGAUACGCGAGGAACCUUACCCGGGCUUAAAUUGCAACAGAAUAUAUUGGAAACAGUAUAGCCGUAAGGCUGUUGUGAAGGUGCUGCAUGGUAGUCGUCAGCUCGUGCCGUGAGGUGUCGGCUUAAGCGCCAUAACGAGCGCAACCCUUAUCUUUAGUUACUAACAGGUGAUGCUGAGGACUCUAGAGAGACUGCCGUCGUAAGAUGUGAGGAAGGUGGGGAUGACGUCAAAUCAGCACGGCCCUUACGUCCGGGGCUACACACGUGUUACAAUGGGGGGUACAGAAGGCGGCUACCUGGUGACAGGAUGCUAAUCCCAAAAACCUCUCUCAGUUCGGAUCGAAGUCUGCAACCCGACUUCGUGAAGCUGGAUUCGCUAGUAAUCGCGCAUCAGCCAUGGCGCGGUGAAUACGUUCCCGGGCCUUGUACACACCGCCCGUCAAGCCAUGAAAGCCGGGGGUACCUGAAGUACGUAACCGCAAGGAGCGUCCUAGGGUAAAACUGGUAAUUGGGGCUAAGUCGUA
rnacentral:rRNA from 1 species